rnacentral:rRNA from 1 species
GCAUAUCAAUAAGCGGAGGAAAAGAAACCAACAGGGAUUGCCCUAGUAACGGCGAGUGAAGCGGCAUCAGCUCAAAUUUGAAAUCUGGCUCUUUCAGGGUCCGAGUUGUAAUUUGCAGAGGGCGCUUUGGUGUUGGCAGCGGUCCAAGUUCCUUGGAACAGGACGUCACAGAGGGUGAGAAUCCCGUACGUGGUCGCUGGCCUUCGCCGUGUAAAGCCCCUUCGACGAGUCGAGUUGUUUGGGAAUGCAGCUCUAAAUGGGAGGUAAAUUUCUUCUAAAGCUAAAUACUGGCCAGAGACCGAUAGCGCACAAGUAGAGUGAUCGAAAGAUGAAAAGCACUUUGGAAAGAGAGUCAAAUAGCACGUGAAAUUGUUGAAAGGGAAGCGCUUGCAGCCAGACUUGCCUGUAGUUGCUCAUCUAGGCUCUUUGCCUAGUGCACUCUUCUGCGGGCAGGCCAGCAUCAGUCUAGGCGGUUGGAUAAAGGCCUCUGUCAUGUACCUCCUCUCGGGGAGGCCUUAUAGGGGAGGCGUAAUGCAACCAGCCUGGACUGAGGUCCGCGCAUCUGCUAGGAUGCUGGCGUAAUGGCUGUAAGCGGCCCGUCUUGAAACACGGACCAAGGAGUCUAACAUCUAUGCGAGUGUUUGGGUGUCAAGCCCGAGCGCGUAAUGAAAGUGAACGGAGGUGGGAUCCCUUUAGGGUGCACCAUCGACCGAUCCUGAUGUCUUCGGAUGGAUUUGAGUAAGAGCAUGGCUGUUGGGACCCGAAAGAUGGUGAACUAUGCUUGAAUAGGGUGAAGCCAGAGGAAACUCUGGUGGAGGCUCGCAGCGGUUCUGACGUGCAAAUCGAUCGUCAAAUUUGGGCAUAGGGGCGAAAGACUAAUCGAACUAUCUAGUAGCUGGUUCUGCCG